ACCACUGGGUUGAUAGGCCGGAUGUGGAAGCGAGGACUAACGACUCGUGAAGCUGACCGGUACUAAUAGGCCGAUAACUUACAC
rnacentral:rRNA from 1 species